UUUCAUUAUUCGGACAUUUAAUUUUUAUUUAAGUUAUUUAAUAGUGCAAGUAUAAACUCUCAACAUGAUCCUUACGAGCCAAAUAUGAAUGGCUAAAUAUAAAGAAUAAAUUGAAAUUAGUUAAAAUAAGUAAAAUCACUGAAUAAAAAGUAUCACGUGCCGGCGUUUACGUGGUGAAGAUUCCAGACGUAUUUAAUGAUUGGUCCAUAUUGAAAAACGCUGAAGAAAUAUAGAAUACAGGGCUAGAUAAAGAAAAAUAUUGGAAGUUCAGGCGUCGCUUAGGAACGAACCUGCUCAACUGAUUUCCACGAUUGAAUUCUCAUCAGAUCUCCCAUUUGAGGUGUCACACCUUGCUGGCUUCUCUGACUCGCAUCUCUCAACGCUUCCCUGUUGCGAUCUUCAGCAAACUGUAGUUAACAGUGCGUGCUUAUUUCAG